CAGCCGCCGCGGUAAUACGGAGGGUGCAAGCGUUAAUCGGAAUUACUGGGCGUAAAGCGCACGCAGGCGGUUUGUUAAGUCAGAUGUGAAAUCCCCGGGCUCAACCUGGGAACUGCAUCUGAUACUGGCAAGCUUGAGUCUCGUAGAGGGGGGUAGAAUUCCAGGUGUAGCGGUGAAAUGCGUAGAGAUCUGGAGGAAUACCGGUGGCGAAGGCGGCCCCCUGGACGAAGACUGACGCUCAGGUGCGAAAGCGUGGGGAGCAAACAGGAUUAGAUACCCUGGUAGUCCACGCCGUAAACGAUGUCGACUUGGAGGUUGUGCCCUUGAGGCGUGGCUUCCGGAGCUAACGCGUUAAGUCGACCGCCUGGGGAGUACGGCCGCAAGGUUAAAACUCAAAGGAAUUGACGG
rnacentral:rRNA from 2 species